AACGAACGCUGGCGGCAUGCCUAACACAUGCAAGUCGAACGAGAUCUUCGGGUCUAGUGGCGCACGGGUGCGUAACGCGUGGGAAUCUGCCCUUUGGUUCGGAAUAACAGUUGGAAACGACUGCUAAUACCGGAUGAUGACGAAAGUCCAAAGAUUUAUCGCCAGAGGAUGAGCCCGCGUAGGAUUAGCUAGUUGGUGUGGUAAAGGCGCACCAAGGCGACGAUCCUUAGCUGGUCUGAGAGGAUGAUCAGCCACACUGGGACUGAGACACGGCCCAGACUCCUACGGGAGGCAGCAGUGGGGAAUAUUGGACAAUGGGCGAAAGCCUGAUCCAGCAAUGCCGCGUGAGUGAUGAAGGCCUUAGGGUUGUAAAGCUCUUUUACCCGGGAUGAUAAUGACAGUACCGGGAGAAGAAGCCCCGGCUAACUUCGUGCCAGCAGCCGCUGUAAUAC
rnacentral:rRNA from 1 species